AGCAUACAAGGCAUACGGCUCAGUAACGCGUAGUCAACCUAACCUAUGGACGGGAAUAACCUCGGGAAACUGAGAAUAAUGCCCGAUAGAACAUUAUGCCUGGAAUGGUUUAUGUUCCAAAUGAUUUAUCGCCGUAGGAUGGGACUGCGGCCUAUCAGUUUGUUGGUGAGGUAAUGGCCCACCAAGACUAUUACAGGUACGGGCUCUGAGAGGAGUAGCCCGGAGAUGGGUACUGAGACACGGACCCAGGCCCUAUGGGGCGCAGCAGGCGAGAAAACUUUGCAAUGUGCGAAAGCACGACAAGGUUAAUCCGAGUGGUUUCUGCUAAAGAAACCUUUUGUCAGUCCUAGAAACACUGAUGAAUAAGGGGUGGGCAAGUUCUGGUGUCAGCCGCCGCGGUAAAACCAGCACCUCAAGUGGUCAGGAUGAUUAUUGGGCCUAAAGCAUCCGUAGCCGGCUCUGUAAGUUUUCGGUUAAAUCUGUACGCUCAACGUACAGGCUGCCGGGAAUACUGCAUAGCUAGGGAGUGGGAGAGGUAGACGGUACUCGGUAGGAAGGGGUAAAAUCCUUUGAUCUAUUGAUGACCACCUGUGGCGAAGGCGGUCUACCAGAACACGUCCGACGGUGAGGGAUGAAAGCUGGGGGAGCAAACCGGAUUAGAUACCCGGGUAGUCCCAGCUGUAAACUAUGCAAACUCAGUGAUGCAUUGGCUUGUGGCCAAUGCAGUGCUGCAGGGAAGCCGUUAAGUUUGCCGCCUGGGAAGUACGUACGCAAGUAUGAAACUUAAAGGAAUUGGCGGGGGAGCACCACAAGGGGUGAAGCCUGCGGUUCAAUUGGAGUCAACGCCGGGG
rnacentral:rRNA from 1 species